rnacentral:rRNA from 1 species
AUGAACGCUGGCGGCGUGGAUAAGGCAUGCAAGUCGGACGAUUUCCUUUUUUGAAGAAGAUGCGAUUACAUCAAGUCAACCGAUAUUUUGGAGAUAGUGGCGAACGAGCUAGUAACACCUUGGUACGUACCCAAAAGUUUGGUAUAGCUCGCCGAAAGGCGGGGUAAUCCCAAAUAGUCCCUCUAUCUAACCGGAUAGAAGGGUAAAGUCGCAAGACGCUUUUGGAGCGGCCUAGGACCGAUCAGUUAGUUGGUGAGGUAAUGGCUCACCAAGACAAUGACCGUAGGGG